rnacentral:rRNA from 1 species
GAUGAACGCUGGCGGCGUGCCUAAUACAUGCAAGUCGAGCGAAUGGAUUAAGAGCUUGCUCUUAUGAAGUUAGCGGCGGACGGGUGAGUAACACGUGGGUAACCUGCCCAUAAGACUGGGAUAACUCCGGGAAACCGGGGCUAAUACCGGAUAACAUUUUGAACCGCAUGGUUCGAAAUUGAAAGGCGGCUUCGGCUGUCACUUAUGGAUGGACCCGCGUCGCAUUAGCUAGUUGGUGAGGUAACGGCUCACCAAGGCAACGAUGCGUAGCCGACCGGGGAGGGGUAUAGGCCACACUGGGACUGCGACACGGCCCAGACUCCGACGGGAGGCAGCAGUAGGGAAUCUUCCGCAAUGGACGAAAGUCUGACGGAGCAACGCCGCGUGAGUGAUGAAGGCUUUCGGGUCGUAAAACUCUGUUGUUAGGGAAGAACAAGUGCUAGUUGAAUAAGCUGGCACCUUGACGGUACCUAACCAGAAAGCCACGGCUAACUACGUGCCAGCCGCCGCGGUAA